rnacentral:rRNA from 1 species
UAACAACAAGAUGAUGCCUAUCAACUGUUUAAAAGAUUAGGUUCUGCUAUCACUCUUGGAGUGGACCGUCGCGGUGCAUUAGCUAGUUGGUAGGGUAAACGGGCUACCAAGGCGAUGAUGCAUAGCCGAGUUGAGAGACUGAUCGGCCACAUUGGGACUGAGACACGGCCCAAACUCCUACGGGAGGCAGCAGUAGGGAAUCUUCCACAAUGGACGCAAGUCUGAUGGAGCAACGCCGCGUGAGUGAAGAAGGGUUUCGGCUCGUAAAGCUCUGUUGUUGGUGAAGAAGGACAGGGGGUAGUAACUGACCUUUGUUUGACGGUAAUCAAUUAGAAAGUCACGGGCUAACUACGUGCCAGCAGCCGCGGUAAAU